rnacentral:rRNA from 1 species
AUGGGGGCCCGCAAGGGCAACCGGCGAACGGGUGCGUAACACGUGAGCGACCUGCCUGAGUGCGGGGGAUAGCCGGCCCAACGGCCGGGUAAUACCGCAUACGCUUGGUUGAGGGCAUCCUUGGCCAAGGAAACCUCCGGGGCACUCAGAGGGGCUCGCGGCCUAUCAGCUAGUUGGCGGGGUAAUGGCCCACCAAGGCGACGACGGGUAGCUGGUAUGAGAGGAUGGCCAGCCACAUUGGGACUGAGAGACGGCCCAGACUCCUACGGGAGGCAGCAGUGGGGAAUCUUGCGCAAUGGCCGAAAGGCUGACGCAGCGACGCCGCGUGUGGGAGGAAGCUCUUACGGGGUGUAAACCACUGUUGCCCGGGACGAACGAUGAGUUUUUACUCAUGUGACGGUAUCCGGGUGAGGAAGCACCGGCUAACUUUGUGCCAGCAGCCGCGGUCAU